UUUCCGGUUGAUCCCGCCAGAGGUCACUGCUAUCGGUGUUCGACUAAGCCAUGCGAGUCAAAUGUUCUUCGUGAACAUGGCGUACUGCUCAGUAACACGUGGAUAACCUGCCCUUAGGUCUGGCAUAACCCCGGGAAACUGGGGAUAAUUCCGGAUAGAUCAUCGAUGCUGGUAUGCGCUUUGAUCCAAAGCUAUUGUGCCUAAGGAUGGGUCUGCGGUCUAUCAGGUUGUAGUGGGUGUAAUGUACCUACUAGCCUACGACGGAUACGGGUUGUGGGAGCAAGAGCCCGGAGAUGGAUUCUGAGACAUGAAUCCAGGCCCUACGGGGCGCAGCAGGCGCGAAAACUUUACAAUGCGGGGAACCGCGAUAAGGGGACACCGAGUGCCAGCAUCCAAUGUUGGCUGUCCAUAUGUCUAAAUCACAUGUGUUAGCAAGGGCCGGGCAAGACCGGUGCCAGCCGCCGCGGUAACACCGGCGGCCCGAGUGGUGGCCACUAUUAUUGGGUCUAAAGGGUCCGUAGCCGGUUUGGUCAGUCUUCCGGGAAAUCUGACGGCUCAACCGUUAGGCUUUCGGGGGAUACUACCAGGCUUGGGACCGGGAGAGGUAAGAGGUACUACGGGGGUAGGAGUGAAAUCUUGUAAUCCCUGUGGGACCACCAGUGGCGAAGGCGUCUUACCAGAACGGGUCCGACGGUGAGGGACGAAAGCUGGGGGCACGAACCGGAUUAGAUACCCGGGUAGUCCCAGCUGUAAACUAUGCUCGCUAGGUGUCAGGGACGGUGCGACCGUUUCUGGUGCCGCAGGGAAGCCGUGAAGCGAGCCACCUGGGAGGUACGGUCGCAAGGCUGAAACUUAAAGGAAUUGGCGGGGGAGCACUACAACGGGUGGAGCCUGCGGUUUAAUUGGACUCAACGCCGGG
rnacentral:rRNA from 1 species